UACGGGGGGAGCAAGCGUUGUUCGGAUUUACUGGGCGUAAAGAGCGUGUAGGCGGCCAGAUAGGUCCGUUGUGAAACCUGGAGGCUUAACCGUCCAGCCGGCGAUGGAAACCAUUUGGCUAGAGUCCGGAAGAGGAGAGUGGAAUUCCGUGGUGUAGCGGUGAAAUGCGCAGAUAUCAGGAAGAACACCCGUGGCGAAGGGCGGCUCUCUGGGACGGUACUGACGCUGAGACGCGAAAGCGUGGGGAGC
rnacentral:rRNA from 1 species